rnacentral:rRNA from 1 species
GAGGAGGAGGACGCCGAAGGUGGGGCUGGUGACUGGGGUGAAGUCGUAACAAGGUAGCCGUACCGGAAGGUGUGGCUGGAUCACCUCCUUU